AUCUCUUCUUGGCCUGUUGGCUAAGAUCAGAUGUAGUAUCUGUUCUUAUCAGUUUAAUAUCUGAUUAAAAAAAAAAGAAUGAUUUUGUAGCCAGGUGCAGUGGCUCACUUCUGUAAUCCCAGUGCUUUGGAACACUCAAGUGGAGGAUUGCUUGAGGCCAGGAGUUCCAGACUAGC
ensembl:snRNA U2 U2 spliceosomal RNA